rnacentral:rRNA from 1 species
UAAAAGUAAGCAAGGGCGCAUGGCGGAUGCCUUGGCUCUCGGAGGCGAUGAAGGACGUGAUAAGCUGCGAUAAGCUGCGGGUAGGUGCAAAUGACCUUUGAUCCGCGGAUUUCCGAAUGGGACAACCCAAUAUCUUGAAGAGGUAUUAUCCUACUAAGUAGGAGGCAAACGCAGGGAACUGAAACAUCUUAGUACCUGUAGGAAUAGAAAAUAAAUAAUG